rnacentral:ncRNA from 1 species
GGGUCCGGCGGGCCACUGACCUCCUGAGAGAACCGGGGGAAAGAACCACCCGCCCGCCCACCCUCCCCGCCGGAAGGCGCACGUCACCCGUCCGAGUGACCAGCUUGCAGGGGUGGGACACGGACCGUUACGUUCGCCGCACAACCCAACACAGACGACGGCCCCCGGCCGGGACGGCAAUCCCGAUCGAGGGCCUGACCGAUCAGGAAGCAGAGACCUUCCCG